rnacentral:rRNA from 1 species
AGUUCGGACUGUGGUCUGCAACCCGACCACACGAAGCUGGAAUCGCUAGUAAUCGCGAAUCAGAAUGUCGCGGUGAAUACGUUCCCGGGUCUUGUACACACCGCCCGUCACACCAUGGGAGUCAGCAACGCCCGAAGUCAGUGACCUAACCGAAAGGGAGGAGCUGCCGAAGGCGGGGCCGGUAACUGGGGUGAAGUCGUAACAAGGUAAC